rnacentral:rRNA from 1 species
CACGUAGGGUGCGAGCGUUGUCCGGAAUUAUUGGGCGUAAAGAGCUCGUAGGCGGUGUGUCGCGUCGGCCGUGAAAACCUGCAGCUUAACUGUGGGCUUGCGGUCGAUACGGGCAUCACUGGAGUUCGGCAGGGGAGACUGGAAUUCCUGGUGUAGCGGUGAAAUGCGCAGAUAUCAGGAGGAACACCGGUGGCGAAGGCGGGUCUCUGGACAGCAACUGACGCUGAGGCACGAAGGCCAGGGGAGCAAACGGG